rnacentral:rRNA from 2 species
CACCGGCGGCCCGAGUGGUGGCCAUUAUUAUUGGGUCUAAAGGGUCCGUAGCCGGUUUGAUCAGUCUUCCGGGAAAUCUGACAGCUCAACUGUUAGGCUUCUGGGGGAUACUGUCAGACUUGGAACCGGGAGAGGUAAGAGGUACUACAGGGGUAGGAGUGAAAUCUUGUAAUCCUUGUGGGACCACCAGUGGCGAAGGCGUCUUACCAGAACGGGUUCGACGGUGAGGGACGAAAGCUGGGGGCACGAACCGG